UACGUAGGGGCAAGCGUUGUCCGGAUUUAUUGGCGUAAAGAGCGUGUAGGCGGCCAGGUAGGUCUGGUGUGAAAACUCGAGGCUUAACCUCGAGAUGUCAUCGGAAACCAUCUGGCUAGAGUCCGGAAGAGGAGAGUGGAAUUCCGUGGUGUAGCGGUGAAAUGACGCAGAUAUCAGGAAGAACACCAAUGGCGAAAGCAGCUCUCUGGGACGGUACUGACGCGAGAGACGAAAGCGUGGGGAGCGAACAGG
rnacentral:rRNA from 1 species